CCUACGGGUGGCUGCAGUGGGGAAUAUUGGACAAUGGGCGAAAGCCUGAUCCAGCCAUGCCGCGUGUGUGAAGAAGGCCUUCGGGUUGUAAAGCACUUUCAGUGGGGAAGAAAGCCUUGGGGCUAAUACCCUCGAGGAAGGACAUCACCCACAGAAGAAGCACCGGCUAACUCCGUGCCAGCAGCCGCGGUAAUACGGAGGGUGCGAGCGUUAAUCGGAAUUACUGGGCGUAAAGCGCGCGUAGGCGGUCUGAUAAGCCGGUUGUGAAAGCCCCGGGCUCAACCUGGGAACGGCAUCCGGAACUGUCAGGCUAGAGUGCAGGAGAGGAAGGUAGAAUUCCCGGUGUAGCGGUGAAAUGCGUAGAGAUCGGGAGGAAUACCAGUGGCGAAGGCGGCCUUCUGGACUGACACUGACGCUGAGGUGCGAAAGCGUGGGUAGCAAACAGGAUUAGAUCCCCUGGUAGUC
rnacentral:rRNA from 1 species